AAGCCUUUUCCUCUCUUUUUCCUCUCCCGACGGCGCGAUUCUUCUCUUGGGCGAAAACCGUAGCCAAGGCUAGGGUUCCUCCUCCCGACGCCGACGAGGUGUUUUCCGGCCGGUCUCCAACCGUGGGUGACCUUUCCGGCAAGGAAAGCUCGGGAAACACAAGGAAAAGGGAGAAACAGAAGCUCUACCGAAAACCUAGAGCGCUCCUCGGGUUGUAAGUCCAAGAACACCGUUAUACAGAUAAAAAUAAAGGAAAGGCUAAAGUGGUGUAGAAGAAGGCGACAAGGAGACGUUGAUGGUGUGUGUGGUGGCUGUUAUGGAAGCUUGGGACCUUGCUAAGAAAUUGCUGCAAGUUAAUUUAAUUAGUUUUCUUCUUAAAUAACUAGGAGAAUUUAGAGAAAUACAGAUUCUUUUUGCUCUUUCUGUUUUGCUGUUUUGAAGUUGUUCAAAUGCUUUUGUUCUGUUGAAUUUCUGGAAUCAUUCGGAUGUUAAAUGCUUAUGUUCAUUACUUCUUUAUACUCUGCUAGAAUGUUAAAUUUCUGGAAGGUUAAAUCUGCUGGGAAGUUUGGAUUUGAUUGCACAGUAGUCUCUCAUGUAUGUUGGUAUUCAUGUGCUAAAGCUGGAGUUUUAUUUCUGCCAUGGGAAUCAUAUCCGCAGGAAUUCUUUUGUCUAUAAAAAAAAAAAUGUGCACUGUUUCGGUUUGUUAGAAAAGCAUGAGCAGUAAGAGUUUUGGUGUAUGAAAGAAAAGCAUGUGUAUGAAAGAAAAGCAUGUGGUUCGGCUUGUUAGGAAAUGAAUAAGUAGUAUUCUAUUUCACUUCCUCUUAAUUACUGUUUGGUUGUAGAAUGAAUAACUACAUUUUGUAACAAGGAAUGUUAGGUAGGAUUUCAUGAAUGCAAGUUAAUAAAGGAAGUUGCAAACAGUAGAGAUAUUUAAGUUCAUUGUCUAUAUGUUACACUUGCUUGUUGUUAUACUUAUUUGCAUGUUUAAAUAAGUAAGGAAAAAAAAUAAACAAAAAAAAAUAAUAAUACUAUCAGAACAGUUUAAAGCAUUUUUGAUAUGUGAUAUGUUUUUAACAAAUAGUUGAAAGCAUUUCUAGUGUUAAGUAGGUAGUACCAGUUAUGUGUAGUUAGUAGAAUCAGUAGCGGUCACCCUCAGAGUAGUAGUAAGGAGGGUGGUCGUUACAAUUUUGAUUUCUUUGCUAGCUUGAUUUCUUUGCUAGUAUUUGCAAGCAUGAUUUCAAUUCCCUUAUUAUUAGAUGAUCAUGAGUAGCAACUUUUCUUCUAAAGCGUUCAGUUUCUAGAUUUCUUCUUGUACACAUGCAUAUCUGAGUUUUGUGAAUUAUAUAGCGUUUACUAAGCAUCUGCUUAUAGUUGCAUUUCCUCUUACUGCAGAUAAAGGAAAAGUAAAGCUAUAGUGAAGGAAGGCGACAAGGAGGUGUGAGAUGGGUGUGUGAUGUCUGGACUAUGGAAGCCUUGGGAUCUUGCUAAAAACAAAAAAAUUAUUAAGAUUUUGUAUUUAGACUGUUUGUGAAAUUUAGGUGGAUUAAGUCCUUCUUGCAUUGUUGGAAUUAUUCUUUCGUGUUGUUGGUUGGUUUAUAGAAUGAUUUUAUGUUUUUAGAAUUCUUCCAUUUAAAUUGCUAUGCACAUUAGCCACAUUAUUUGA